rnacentral:rRNA from 1 species
AUGAUGACUCUCGGCAACGGAUAUCUCGGCUCUUGCAUCGAUGAAGAACGUAGUGAAAUGCGAUACCUGGUGUGAAUUGCAGAAUCCCGUGAACCAUCGAAUCUUUGAAUGCAAGUUGCGCCCGAGGCCACCCGGCCUAGGGCACGCCUGCCUGGGCGUCAUGC